rnacentral:rRNA from 1 species
UACGUAGGGGGCAAGCGUUGUCCGGAAUCAUUGGGCGUAAAGAGCGUGCAGGCGGCCAGAUAAGUCCGCUGUGAAAUCUCGAGGCUCAACUUCGAGCUGUCGGUGGAAACUGUCUGGCUAGAGUCCGGAAGAGGAGAAUGGAAUUCCUGGUGUAGCGGUGAAAUGCGCAGAUAUCAGGAAGAACACCCGUGGCGAAGGCGGUUCUCUGGGACGGUACUGACGCUGAGACGCGAAAGCGUGGGGAGCAAACAGG